rnacentral:rRNA from 1 species
GUACACUCCUACGGGAGGCAGCAGUGGGGAAUAUUGCACAAUGGGCGGAAGCCUGAUGCAGCAACGCCGCGUGCGGGAUGACGGCCUUCGGGUUGUAAACCGCUUUCGCCUGUGACGAAGCGUGAGUGACGGUAAUGGGUAAAGAAGCACCGGCUAACUACGUGCCAGCAGCCGCGGUGAUACGUAGGGUGCGAGCGUUGUCCGGAUUUAUUGGGCGUAAAGGGCUCGUAGGUGGUUGAUCGCGUCGGAAGUGUAAUCUUGGGGCUUAACCCUGAGCGUGCUUUCGAUACGGGUUGACUUGAGGAAGGUAGGGGAGAAUGGAAUUCCUGGUGGAGCGGUGGAAUGCGCAGAUAUCAGGAGGAACACCAGUGGCGAAGGCGGUUCUCUGGGCCUUUCCUGACGCUGAGGAGCGAAAGCGUGGGGAGCGAACAGGCUUAGAUACCCGUGUAGUCCC